rnacentral:lncRNA from 1 species
GUUUUAAGCAUAUGUAGAGAAUAAAAAACAGGGUAUUCUUUUGCAGCAGACAAAAGUUGGAAAUUCUUAGUAAUAAGAGGCACAUUUUUGAGACUUUUUUUCUUGUAUCACUUAUUCUUAUGUUUUUUCAAGGGAGAAAGAAGAAAUUGGUUUUGGAAGCCUCUGUCAGUAGAAAGGCCACAUCGAUCUCUGAACCUCCUGUUCCACUGCCAACAGAGGCUCAAGGACUCAGAGUGGAUGUAACCCAUUGCUGUCCAUCCUGAUGGAAGACCUGCCACGCUCCAGGAUGCUUCCAGUGGAAUUGCAAAUGAAACAUCUAUUUGCUCUUCAAAUGGUGUCAGCCCUACCUGUGCUUUGGCACUGCAUGCAGCACCCAGGCAGCCCCUGCACUGCUGUGGGAUGGGGUUCCCAUCUAGGGAGGACUUUGGGGCAGUCCCUGAGAGUCCAAGCAAGAGAAGGUGUGGGACAGCAAUAG